UUUUUUUUUCCUGAAGCUUAAAUGAAUCGGAAACACAAGAUACAGUAUAGUCCAGGCUAAUUACUUCUGAAAGAGACACGUGCACCCCAAUGUUCAUCGCAGCACUGUUUAUAAUAGCCAGGACAUGGAAGCAACCUAGAUGCCCAUCAGCAGAUGAAUGGAUAAAGAAGCUGUGGUACAUACACACCAUGGAAUAUUACUCAGCCGUUAAAAAGAAUUCAUUUGAAUCAGUCCUAAUGAGAUGGAUGAAACUGGAGCCCAUUAUACAGAGUGAAAGUGCCAUCCAGGAUGCCACAUGACAGUAGAUCAUCCUGUCCCCUGGAACUUCCCUUGGCAGUGACAGUUGGUCGUGCUGUCCUUGCUUAUCAAGACC